rnacentral:rRNA from 1 species
UGAGGAAUAUUGGUCAAUGGGCGCGAGCCUGAACCAGCCAAGUCGCGUGAGGGAGGACGGCCCUACGGGUUGUAAACCUCUUUGCCGGGGAGCAACGGGCGUCACGUGUGGCGCCACUGAGAGUACCCGGAGAAAAAGCAUCGGCUAACUCCGUGCC